UGGCUCAGGAUGAACGCUAGCGGCAGGCUUAACACAUGCAAGUCGAGGGGCAGCGGGGAGGAAGCUUGCUUUCUCCGCCGGCGACCGGCGCACGGGUGAGUAACACGUAUGCAACCUGCCCCUGUCAGGGGGACAACCCGCCGAAAGGCGGGCUAAACCCGCGUACAUGCCACCGGGGCAUCCCGGAGGCAGGAAAGGCUUCGGCCGGACAGGGAUGGGCAUGCGGCGCAUUAGGCAGUAGGCGGGGUAACGGCCCACCUAACCGACGAUGCGUAGGGGUUCUGAGAGGAAGGUCCCCCACACUGGUACUGAGACACGGACCAGACUCCUACGGGAGGCAGCAGUGAGGAAUAUUGGUCAAUGGUCGGGAGACUGAACCAGCCAAGCCGCGUGAGGGAGGAAGGUACAGAGUAUCGUAAACCUCUUUUGUCAGGGAACAAAGGCUGGGACGCGUCCCCGGAUAAGUGUACCUGAAGAAAAAGCAUCGGCUAACUCCGUGCCAGCAGCCGCGGUAAUACGGAGGAUGCGAGCGUUAUCCGGAUUUAUUGGGUUUAAAGGGUGCGCAGGCGGUCUGUUAAGUCAGCGGUCAAAGCCCGGGGCUCAACCCCGGCCCGCCGUUGAAACUGGCAGUCUCGAGUUGGAGAGAAGUAUGCGGAAUGCGCGGUGUAGCGGUGAAAUGCAUAGAUAUCGCGCAGAACUCCGAUUGCGAAGGCAGCAUGCCGGCUCCACACUGACGCUGAGGCACGAAAGCGUGGGUAUCGAACAGGAUUAGAUACCCUGGUAGUCCACGCAGUAAACGAUGAAUGCUGGCUGUCCGGGGGGACUGACCCCUGGGUGGCGAAGCGAAAGCGAUAAGCAUUCCACCUGGGGAGUACGCCGGCAACGGUGAAACUCAAAGGAAUUGACGGGGGCCCGCACAAGCGGAGGAACAUGUGGUUUAAUUCGAUGAUACGCGAGGAACCUUACCCGGGCUCAAACGGGGAGUGACUCAGGCAGAGACGCCUGUUUCCCACGGGACACUCCCCGAGGUGCUGCAUGGUUGUCGUCAGCUCGUGCCGUGAGGUGUCGGCUUAAGUGCCAUAACGAGCGCAACCCCCGCGUGCAGUUGCUAACAGAUAACGCUGAGGACUCUGCACGGACUGCCGGCGCAAGCCGCGAGGAAGGCGGGGAUGACGUCAAAUCAGCACGGCCCUUACGUCCGGGGCGACACACGUGUUACAAUGGGUGGUACAGCGGGAAGCCAGGCGGCGACGCCGAGCGGAACCCGAAAUCCACUCUCAGUUCGGAUCGGAGUCUGCAACCCGACUCCGUGAAGCUGGAUUCGCUAGUAAUCGCGCAUCAGCCAUGGCGCGGUGAAUACGUUCCCGGGCCUUGUACACACCGCCCGUCAAGCCAUGGGAGCCGAGGGCGCUUGAAGUGCGUCGCCGCGAGGCGCGCCCUAGAGCGAAAUCGGUGACUGGGGCUAAGUCGUAACAAGGUAGCCG
rnacentral:rRNA from 1 species